UUUUUUUUUUGGUGGGGGGGGAGAGAGAAAGUCCACACAUGCCUGUGAGUGGAGGGGGGAUGUGACUAAGGGGGUUGCAGAGGGAGACAGGGAGAGAGAACCUCAAGCAGGCUCUGCACUGAGUGUAGAGCCCAAUGCAGGGCUCAAUCUCAUGACCCUGAGAUCACAACCUGAGCCAAAAUCAAGAGUUGGACGCUUAACUGACUGAGCCACCCAGGCGCCCCAAAUGUCUGAUUUUCUAAUGCUAGAUGUAUGUACUUUCCCAAAUUAUGUUUGAUCUGCCUAUUCAAAUAAAUUGAAUUUUCCUUUACAGCAGUAAAACAUAAAAUGAAAACUUUCUUCAAACUAAGUUUUUUUUACUUCUAUAUUUAUAGAAGAUAUUUUAUAAUUUAUCACUUUCUCUUUGGAACCUUAGAAUAUAUCAAAGUCAGGCCAAUAUCUAUAUUGCCUCUGCCUUUGACUGUAUUAAUUGUGCUGUGACAACCAUUCGGCAUUCAGCCACUCUGGUAAAAGAGGAAGAGAAGACAGCAGAAAGCAACCAGAACCUUGCCAUAGCUUCUGGACAGCCAGGGGACUCCCCAAUGGAAAAGUGCCUACUCAUUCACAGCGUCGCCUGCUCUCAAGGCCUCAGCUACUCCCAGUCCAUAAGGAUCUGAGACUUCCAGUGUUUUAGUGGUCACAAGAAGCAGGAAUCCACUUAGACUAGCUCAAAGUAUGUGAGAGUUGAGUAUAAGAUUACUAGGGAUUACCCCCCAAAGCACAGGAGGUUAGCCCUAGCCUUGUGGGACAAUGGAACCCAUGGAACCCAGAGCUUGUCUCUGUUGCUUGCUUCUUUACUCUCUCUCCUCUCUCCUGCCUGGAUACUACUCCUCACUCAACCACUCACAGGAGAUGCAGCCCCAGCCACCCACCCAGCAUUUUCCUCUUUCUCAGGCCAAACUUCUCUGCUCCCUCUGACCCAUGCCUCAACCUCUCAGAAAACAUCAGGUUCUUUCAUAAUAAACGGGCCUCAGGAUGCUGAGAACAAAGACUCAGACUCAGCAGAAGAGUGCCCAGUGCAAACCCCAAAGGGAAGAUGAUGAUCAAGGAAGCUAGUACAAGAACACCCAUCCUGGUGGAAGAAACCAAAACUUGGUAAAGGAGUUGAGCAAACACCCAGGGUGGAGGCAACAAUCUAGAGGAGAGAAAAAGGAACAUCCUCAAAGUAAGCAGGAAAACAAGUCAGUCGGUAAAUCUGAACAGGGUCCCAGUUAAGUCAGCGGAACAGCUCUUCCACCUGCUGGCUCAGGCUGUGCAGAGCUGGGGCGCACCAUCUGGGGCCAAGUGCUUGCUCAGACUUCAGAGGAAAUCAGGGAGUUAAGAGGUAAAAGCAAUACAAAAAAAGGACCAUAGGUAUUUGUCAGCAUCAAACGACCAAAUAGAAUAGAACUAGGGGGCAGAAAACUUGGCUCUGCCACUAACUUGCCAAGUGAUCUGGAGAAAGUCAUUUUCUUUGGGCCUCAGUUUCCGCACAUAUAAUGUGAAGAGACUGGGCUAAAGAAUCCUUGGGUCCCUGAAGCAAUGACCCUUGAGGCAGUGGUGUGCUCAAGUCAGCUCUCGCUGGAUCAUGAGAACCAACUAUUACAUUUGGAGGAACUUUGUGGCUUGUUGUUAAACACAGCUGUCAUAAAAAAAUUAAAUAAUAUACAUUAAUAAUAAAUUUUACCAAAAUCCAACAGCAAAAAUACCCAAAAGUCACCACUUCCUAGUUACUUUACUACAUUUUAUGGUUACCUAUGCCAGGGGUCAACAAACUUUUUCUGUAAGGGGACAAAUACUAAGUAUUUUAGGCUUUGAGGAUCACAGUCUGUCAUAUAUUGUUUGUUUCACCAUGCUUUAAAAAAAGAUAAAAACUAAUCUUAGCUCAUGGACUGCACAAUAACAGGCCAUGCAAGGGUCAGAUGUGGUCUACGGGCCGUAAUUUGCCAAUCACUGAUCUACGAUCUUGAGGUUAUUUACACUUAUUUCACUCACAUGGUGGAGAUGCCAUACAAUAGUGUGCUCUUGCACAUCUCUGCCCAACUCCAUUUCCAGUGAGAUCACAUUAGUAGCUUAAAAUCAGCUAUGGUGAAAGUAUUUACACUACAGAAAUGGACAAACGCUGCAAAUCAAAGCUUCUCUUCCUGGAAGCUGGCUGUUAUAAGUUUACCAGCACACCACUGCCUUGAGGUCACUGCGGGAGAGAAUCACAGAAAACUAAAGUGCUUUAUCAACUCACCCAGGAAAUCCAGACAGAGAAGCAAAAUGCAAAGGGAAAAUGCCAUCUCUGGAGCCAGGUGAAAAGAAAAACAGGAAUACCCAGCCAGGCACGUCUGGUCAUGGCUUAAUUAACAGGUGGUCUUCCAUGACCACCCUCAGGAUUCGGGCCUCCUUUUCUGUGACUGAGAUGUAUCCUAUUAUUCUCGUCUCUCACUGUGAAAAGACUAUUUCUGGCUUUGUUGCUGCCCUGGGCAGUAACAAAGCAGCUGAGGUCUGCCCAGAAGUAGCCAGGGACGGACAAUGUACAAAGGGUUCAUGGCUGUGAGGGAGACAAGUAAAUGCCAAAGGGAAAGGCAGUUUUAUGUAGAGAAGCCACCUCUGCUGUUCUGGUGUGGAUUUGGGGCUUCUCUUAAAAUAGAACGAUAAACGUGCAGGUCUAGACUAAGCAGCAAUUUUGGUUUUGGGGAAAGCUGAUACCCAGCAGGAUGAGGGCAACCCCGAGAAAGUUUGUUUUCAGCAAUUUGGGCUCAAUUAACCAGGAAAAGUGCCUGGCAAAGAACAAAACACAACCAAAACCAGGAGUAUGCCUUCAGGGCAUUUAUGAGAUGACCCUCCUACAAAUUCCCAGACUAUAAACUCUGCCUUUGGGGAAAUGAGCUGAAACCUUAAGAUCUCUGGAAGAAAUCAUCUCUGUGCUCUACUCCUCUCUCCAAGUCCCAGGAAGAACUCACCCUGGACAUUUAUACUACCUCUCACCCACUUGCUCUGCUUCUCCUAGCUGAUCAUAAGGAAAACUGAUAGACACUAUGGUUGGUGAUCUCCUAGGACUGGGCCUUGUAAUAUCUUUGCCCAACUCCCAGUUGCCUAAUUCAAGGAGUAUAAAAUGCUGGGGAAAUGGAAGGGAGGAGAGAGCAAGGCUUGGUGGAGACAGUGGAUGAGGACACAGGUGGUGAGAGACAGCUGCAUGGACAAAGGGACCCUUGAACUGACCCUUAAAGGAAUAGACAGAGAACAAAAGGAAAAGGCAUCUCAGACAAAGGCAGUGGAGCAGGUAAAUGAAAGAUAUGGUUGUUACAUUAAAAGGUGCUCAAGGCCCCACAUCUAGAAGCACCUUCUCAGCGCCUUCAAGUUUCUGUCUGGUUCAGCCUACUCCAACCUCCACUGAGUCCAUCCAGGUGACCCAGAAGUCCUACAAGGUGCCCACCACUGGUCCCUGGGCCUUCAGCAGCCACUCAUACAUAAGUGUGUCCGGCACCCACAUCAGUUCCUCGGCCUUCUUCCAGGUGGGCAGGAGCAGCAGCUUCUGGGGUGACCUGGGGACCAGUAUGAGUAUGCUCAGGGCCUACACUGGGCCCAGGGUAUGGGGAACAUCACAGCUGUCUCAGUGAAACAGAGCCUGCUCAGCCCCUUAAGCUGGUAACGGACUCCAGUGCCCAAGCCAUGUGCAUCCAGGACAAGGAACAGACCAAGACCCUCAAGAACAAGUCUUUAUCAACAAGGUGUAGAACCUAGAGCAGCAGAACCAGAUGGUGGAGCCCAGUGGAGCCUCUUAGAGCAACAGAAAAUGGCUCAGAGCAACAUGGACAACGUGUUUAAGAGCUAGGUCAACAACCUCAGGCAGCAGCUGGACACAGUGGCCCAGGAGAAGCUGAAGCUGGACACAGAGCUUGGCAAAUGCAAGGGCUGGUGAUGGACUUCAAGAAGAAGCACAAGGGAGCGAUCAAAGAGUGUGCAGCAAUGGAGAAUGAAACUGUCCUUGCCAGAACAGCUGUGGAUGAAGAUUAUCUGAAUAAAGCAGAGCUACCUGGAGGGGCUGAUGGAUAAGAUCAUCUCCCUAAGGCCCCCAUAUGAAGAAGAGAACUGAGAGCUGUGGUCGUAGAUCGCCAACACCUUCAUGGACCUCUUCGUGUACAACAGCACUCUCUGGACCAGACAGCCUCAUUGCCAAGGUCAAGGCCCUGUCCAAGGAGAUCCCCAACCAUAGCCAGGCCAAGGCUGAGCUUGUGUACCAGAUCAAGUACAAGGAACUGCAGAUACUGGCUGGGAAGCACAGGGAUAACCUCUGUCACACACAGAUAGAGAGUUCUGAGAUGAACUAGAACAUCAGACAAAUCCAGACUGCAGUUUCUCAGGGCCUCAAAGGCUUCCCUGGAGGCUGUCAUCACUGAUGCUAAGCAGUGUAGGCAGCUGGCCAUUAAGGACUCCAAUGCCAAGGUGGCUGAGCUAGAGGGUGCCCUGUGGCAAGCCAAGCAGGACAUGGCAUGGCAGCUGCCUGACUACCAGGACCCCAAGCAGCUACUCUGGUGGACUGAACUCAAUCUAUCGGGGUCUCAUGAGCCCUGACUUCAGCUACAGCCUGAGUUUCUUCCAGUCCAGCUUCAGCUCUGUCAGGGGCUCUGGCUCCAGCUGCUCAGCUUCUCCAAGGCCAUGGUUGCAAAGAAGAUUGAGACCCACAAUGAGAAACUCGUGUCUGUAUCAUCUGAUGUCCCACCCAAGUAAACAGCCACUGCCUCCCAGUCUCUCCUCUCCUAUGGCUGCCAUAGAGCCUUUGGGGGAAUGUGCAGGGGAGCUAUUGGGAACAGAAGACCCACCUGAGGCUUAGCCCCAGUCCUUAUUCUACUCUCAGGGGUAGUCUACUGCCCUGGGUAUCCUCUCUUGUCUUUACCCCAAACUAAAAGACAACUCAAGCAUUUUUUCCCAAAUAAAAGCUUUAGCUGGCUCUGCAAAAAAAAAAAAAAAAAAGUACAAACUCAUUAAUUAUGAAAGAAAUUCAAAUUAAAAACCACAGUGAGAAGUAUAAAGCCACAAGAGAAUACACCUCCUACCACAACGAGAGAAAACUAGACAAUCUAUAAAAUCGUAACUUCCCUUGAGCCCAUCAGAGUAUAAAGGUUACACGGCAAAUCAGAAGAUCUGAAUUCCUGUGACUGAGAAGCCCUACCACAGAUAAUACACAAGAACUCUUCUACCUUUGUCAGAGCCUCUUUGGAGGAAGAGGGUAAGAAGAAAAGAGGUAGCCUUACAACAAAUUCUUAAAAGUGAAGUGUGAGUUGGCAUGAAGUUGAGAAUCCAUGGGAACCCCAGACCGAAGAGUUCAUAUACUUAAGCUCUUUUCCACAAUCUCUGCCAGGUACUCAGAAGAACGACUGAGGCAGGCAGGACAGCUAAGAGAGCCUUCUUGGGCCUGCGGGCAUGAAACCCCACCCAUUUUCCAGAGCCUUUUCUCAUAAGAAGUCAAAACCUUAAGCCACUAGGGGAGGGGUAGGCAACUCUCCCAUUCAGGAGGCCCAGGCUAAGAUUCUCUGUUUGCAGAAGGGAUAAAAACAUAGCUAUCUGCCUCUGGGAAAAGAAGUGGGAAACCCCUCUAUCCCCAUGGUAACCCUCACACUGAAUAACAAGUAAUAGUACUCUCCUCCUGGUGGGGAAAAGAAAAAAACCCUCUUGCAACCAGUCCUCAAUACUGAGCUACCACUACACACCCCAUCAGAAUGACCGCAAUUAAUUAAACUGAUGAUGCCAAAAAUUGGCCAGGACGUAGAAAAACAAGAACUCCCCUAUGGUCCUGGGAAAGGGUCUACUAAAUUGGUGCAACCACUUUGGAAAAGUAUUUGGCAGUACCAACUAAAGCUACACACAUGUAUAUCCUAUGACCCAGCAAUUCCACUUCUAGGUCUUUGUUUUUUUUUCUAGGUCUUAAUCUAAGUGAAAUGAGCACAGACGUGAGCCAAAAGGUGUAUUAAAGAGCAUUCAUGACAGACCUACUUGAAAUAACCCAACCUGUAAACAAGCCAAUAAUCACCAACAGUACCAUGUAGAAAUCAUAUAAUUGUGGUUUUUGUCACUCAUUGGAAUAAAUACUAUACAGCAGAGAUAAUGAACCACUACUACCUGCAACAUGAAUAAAUCUAACCAACAUGGUGAACAAAAGAAGCUAAUUAAAAUGAAUCCAUGAAUUCAUUUAUACGAAGUUUAAAAACAAGAAACCAAUAUAUGGGAUGGAAACCAGAGAGCAAUUAUAUUUUUGAGCAUAGUAAACAGACAGGAGGAGUAGGGGGCUUCUGGAGUCCUGGAGAUGUUUUACUUCUUGUUCUAGUGUUGGUUAUACGGGUGAGUUCAUGUGAAAAUUCAUUAAGCUGUACCUUUGUGAUUUAACCCCUUUUCCAUCUGAACAUUAUAUUUCAACUAAAAGAAAAGUUUACUUUAAGGAAAAGUGAUUGAUAUGAUGGGAAACGUUGCCAAGUCAGCCUUGAGUUCAAGACCAAAGGGUUUAUCCUUUGUUCCAUUAGCAAAUAAGUGCCACCCAUUGUGUUUUGCUUUGGUUUGUUGUUUUUUUUUUUAAGAUAAUUGUAAAUUCAUAUGCAGUUGUAAGAAAUAAUACGGAUAAAUCCAAUAUAUUCUUCAUCCAGUUUCCCCAAUGUUGACAUUUUCUAAACUUAUAGCUCAGAAUCAAAAUUAAGAAAUUAGCAUUGAGGGCAGCCCGGUUGGCUCAGCGGUUUAGUGCCAACUUCAGCCCAUGGUGUGAUCCUGGAGACUCAGGAUCGAGUCCCACAUUGGGCUCCCUGCAUGGAGCCUGCUUCUCCCUCUCCCUGUGUCUCUGUGCCUUUCUCUCUCUGUGU
rnacentral:lncRNA from 1 species